UGAGGAACAUGACCUUCGGCGGGGGAUAGCCGGCCCAACGGCCGGGUAAUACCGCGUACGACCACAUGGGGACAUCCCCGAGUGGUGAAAGCAGCAAUGCGCCGAUGGAGUGCCUCGCGGCCUAUCAGCUAGUUGGUGAGGUAAUGGCUCACCAAGGCAUUGACGGGUAGCCGGCCUGAGGAGGGUGACCCGGCCACACUGGGACUGAGACACGGCCCAGACUCCGUACGGGAGCAG
rnacentral:rRNA from 1 species